rnacentral:rRNA from 1 species
UACAGAGGUGCCGAGCGUUAGGCGGAAUCACUGGGCUUAAAGCGUGUGUAGGCGGACUUCUAAGUACCUUGUGAAAUCCCACGGCUCACCCGUGGAACUGCUGGGUAUACUGCCUGUCUUGAGCCAACUAGGGGCGAGCGGAACAGACGGUGGAGCGGUGAAAUGCGUAGAUAUCGGAAAGAACACCAACGGCGAAAGCACUCUGCUGGGCCGACACUGACACUGAGAGACGAAAGCUAGGGGAGCGAAUGGG